GUUGAGGCGACGUCGGCGAUACUGAUCAGAGUCAAAAUGGCCGGCGGACGCACCUCCACACGUCAACAAGUGAAGAAACGGCGAGAACCUGAUUUGGGCGUAUGAGCCUCACACGCUUGGAUUCUGGAGACCGGAUCAAAGGGGACGGCUGAUCGGCGGCCAAGGACUCUCCUGAGUUGGAUGUUGAGAACAAAUAGUCAUUUUAGAUAGAUGACCUAGGGUAACAGUGGGUUUCAGUCGAAACAGAUGGGAAAGAAAUUCCAAAUUUAGAUUCCUUAAUGAACCUGCUCUGAUACCAUGUAGAA
rnacentral:misc_RNA from 1 species